CACAACCCCCCCCAGCCGCCAUCUUGGAGCUGCCCUGUGCAGGAGGGACUGAUGCUUCUCAGCCGGCAUAACUCAGCCACAUCCGUGAUUCGCUGCUAAUGGCCAAGACAGCCCUGUGCAACUAACUAGGCAGUCAACCUACAGAAGAGCAUCUGCUGGACACUGAGUGGGGAAGAGACAGGCGGAACCCUUGCAAAUGUAAAAGCCAGGAGUGGGUCGGACCCCA